GAAACCCUUGUUCUCCAGGGAUUAUUUGGGAGAAAUCAAAUGGACAGUGCCACUGAUUCUGGACUCAACCCUCAACUCAGGAGGGACAUGGAAGACUAGCCCAAGGCACUAAGACAACUGCUCAGCAGCCUCAGGUGAAUUCUGUUGUUCCUGCAAAGAAGAGGAAAGAGGUUGAGUCUAGAUCUAAAGUUUGGGAUCAUUUUGAAAAGAUCCAUGAUUCUGAAGGAAAAUUAAUAAAGAGGAAAUGCAUAUACUGUG